GUAAUGUUGUGUGAUAUGUUUCCUUUCCAGGUAAUGUUGUGUAAUAUGUUUACUUUCCAGGUAAUGUUGUGUGAUAUGUUUCCUUUCCAGGUAAUGUUGUGUAAUAUGUUUACUUUCCAGGUAAUGUUGUGUGAUAUGUUUCCUUUCCA